rnacentral:pre_miRNA from 1 species
GGCCCAUAUUUGAAGUAGAGUAGAUUAGGAGGAUCAUAUGACCCUACUAAACCACUAUACUUCGAGUUUGUACUC